rnacentral:rRNA from 1 species
UACGGGAGGCAGCAGUGGGGAAUAUUGGGCAAUGGGGGGAACCCUGACCCAGCGACGCCGCGUGAGGGAAGAAGGUUUUCGGAUUGUAAACCUCUGUCUUCGGGGAUGAUAGUGACAGUACCCGAGGAGGAAGCCACGGCUAAUUACGUGCCAGCAGCCGCGGUAAU